UUCUUUGUUUAGUUCGGAAUAGUUCGAUCCGGUUUUUUCCAUGUCACGUCGUCACUCGUCACUUUUAUACUUGUUAGCUAUUGUUAGUAAUAAUCACUUAAUCAGAUUGAUGAACCAAAGUGAAGUCAAGUAACAAAUGAAAGGUUUUCAAUAGCAUGCUGCUGUAUCCUGUAGCCUUGUAUCCUGUAUCCUAUGCCUUUGUAGCAGUCUGUUUUCUUUAGUUAGAAAGAAUGUGGCUAAAUGGAUUGGACUAAAUCAACGAACUUGUGAAACUUUGGCGACACUAAUCUAAAGCACUGAAAUACUAGUUUUAAAUAGUGUGAUGUCCUCAAUUUCAAGGUGGUGACUUGCAUUUUGGGAAACCAAUACCAACUGUGCUAUAGAAAAGACUGAAGCAACAUCAAGCAUACCAGUAAAGAGGUCAUCUAUCUGGUCGCACAAGACAUGCAACUUUUUGUAUCAACCAGACCAGUCGAACGGAACACACACCAACGAAACACACACACACCACAUACACCAACAAAGACAACACAUAUCUUCUGACUAUAACGUGAGUACCUGCAUUUACUAUAUGCUUUUGUGGGAAAUGUGUUCAUUUCGUUCGUAUCAGGCUCUCUUCAUCACAACAAACCUUAAUCAUUUUGAUUAACUCGUUAAUAGUUCGACAUCAAUAUAGAAGACGUUAUCUUCA